UACGUAGGUGACCAGCGUUGUCCGGAUUUACUGGGCGUAAGGAGCGCGCAGGCGGUCGUUCAAGUCGAGUGUGAAAGCCCCCGGCUCAACUGGGGAGGGUCACUCGAUACUGAUCGACUUGAAGGCAGGAGAGGGAAGCGGAAUUCCCGGUGUAGUGGUGAAAUGCGUAGAUAUCGGGAGGAACACCAGUGGCGAAGGCGGCUUCCUGGCCUGUUCUUGACGCUGAGGCGCGAAAGCUAGGGGAGCAAACGGG
rnacentral:rRNA from 1 species